rnacentral:tRNA from 1 species
GGGAUUGUAGCUCAGCGGUAGAGCACUUGCCUAGCAUGUGUGAGGCACUGGGUUCAAUCCUCAGCACCA